rnacentral:rRNA from 1 species
GCCAUGCAUGUCUAGUAUAAGCAAUUAUACCGCGAAACUGCGAAUGGCUCAUUAAAUCAGUUAUCGUUUAUUUGAUAGUUCCAUACUACUUGGAUAACCGUGGUAAUUCUAGAGCUAAUACAUGCAAAAAACCGCGACUUCGGAAGCGGUGUAUUUAUUAGAUUAAAGACCAAUGCCCUUCGGGGCUGACAGGUGAUUCAUGAUAACUUCUCGAAUCGCAUGGCCUUGCGCCGGCGAUGGUUCAUUCAAAUUUCUGCCCUAUCAACUUUCGACUUUAGUGUAGUGGACUAAAGUGGUUGCAACGGGUAACGGAGGGUUAGGGCUCGACCCCGGAGAAGGAGCCUGAGAAACGGCUACUACAUCCAAGGAAGGCAGCAGGCGCGCAAAUUACCCAAUCCCGACACGGGGAGGUAGUGACAAUAAAUACUGAUACAGGGCUCUUUUGGGUCUUGUAAUUGGAAUGAGUACAAUUUAAAUCCCUUAACGAGGAACAAUUGGAGGGCAAGUCUGGUGCCAGCAGCCGCGGUAAUUCCAGCUCCAAUAGCGUAUAUUAAAGUUGUUGUGGUUAAAAAGCUCGUAGUUGAACCUGGGCCUCGCGCAGACCGGUCCGCCUCACCGCGUGCACUGGUCCUGCCGGGGCUUUCACUAGGGGAUUCGCAUGUCCUUCACUGGUCGUGCGCGGAACCUGGACUUUUACUGUGAAAAAAUUAGAGUGUUCAAAGCAGGCCUAUGCUCGAAUACAUUAGCAUGGAAUAAUAGAAUAGGACGUGUGGUUCUAUUUUGUUGGUUAUGGGACCGCCGUAAUGAUUAAUAGGGACAGUCGGGGGCAUCAGUAUUCAAUUGUCAGAGGUGAAAUUCUUGGAUUUAUUGAAGACUAACUACUGCGAAAGCAUUUGCCAAGGAUGUUUUCAUUAAUCAGGAACGAAAGUUAGGGGAUCGAAGACGAUCAGAUACCGUCGUAGUCUUAACCAUAAACUAUGCCGACUAGGGAUCGGGCGAUGUUACUUUUUGACUCGCUCGGCACCUUACGAGAAAUCAAAGUCUGUG